AGGACGAACGCUGGCGGCGUGCUUAAUACAUGCAAGUCGAACGAGGUUCACUUCGGUGGGCCUAGUGGCGAACGGGUGAGUAACACGUGAGCAACCUGCCCCGAAGACCGGGAUAACAGUGGGAAACCGCUGCUAAUACCGGAUACCCCCAUUGGAUCCCAUGGUCCGAUGAGGAAAUGGAUUCCGCUUCGGGAGGGGCUCGCGGCCUAUCAGCUUGUUGGUGGGGUAACGGCCUACCAAGGCUUCGACGGGUAGCUGGUCUGAGAGGACGAUCAGCCACACUGGGACUGAGACACGGCCCAGACUCCUACGGGAGGCAGCAGUAGGGAAUCUUGCGCAAUGGGCGAAAGCCUGACGCAGCAACGCCGCGUGAGGGAUGGGAGGCCUUCGGGUUGUAAACCUCUUUCAGCAGGGACGAUUGUGACGGUACCUGCAGAAGAGCCCCGGCAACUACGUGCCAGCAGCCGC
rnacentral:rRNA from 1 species